UGCUCCAUAUUUGGCUUCUAUUACCCAUUUACAUACUGGAGAGCGGAGAGGGAGCGAGCGCUGUACCGCAGACAUCAUUUCUACUACAGUGGUGGAGACAUCCCGGACCUGUGUCACUGCAGGGGGAAGGAAAAAAGCCAAACAAACAAAAAGCAGACCCAAGCCCCGUGAUCAGCUAGGAAGACAUUUGUGUGCGAGUCUCUCUCUGACCCCCCACCCCCGCCAACCCCACCUCCACUGACACUUUACAUCACAUUGCAGGCCAAGCCAGAUGGGCAAGCAAUACAAGCUGUGAAUUUAUUCUUGACCCCAUAGGACAGUGACCACCGUCAUUUUUGUCUUCACCGUACAGUUAUGCACUGCCAAUAAGUGAAAAGGUCAAGAAAAGCAGUAGCUCAGUGGCUGAAUUUUUCUGAAGUGCUUUACAGCAGGGAAAGUGGGGAAACCUCUU